UCGAGCGAAGCGAUUUAAAUGAGACUUCGGUGGAUUUUAAAUUGACUGAGCGGCGGACGGGUGAGUAACGCGUGGAUAACCUGCCUCACACAGGGGGAUAACAGUUAGAAAUGACUGCUAAUACCGCAUAAGCGCACGGUACCGCAUGGUACAGUGUGAAAAACUCCGGUGGUGUGAGAUGGAUCCGCGUCUGAUUAGGUAGUUGGUGAGGUAACGGCCCACCAAGCCGACGAUCAGUAGCCGACCUGAGAGGGUGACCGGCCACAUUGGGACUGAGACACGGCCCAAACUCCUACGGGAGGCAGCAGUGGGGAAUAUUGCACAAUGGGCGAAAGCCUGAUGCAGCAACGCCGCGUGAGUGAAGAAGUAUCUCGGUAUGUAAAGCUCUAUCAGCAGGGAAGAAAAUGACGGUACCUGACUAAGAAGCCCCGGCUAACUACGUGCCAGCAGCCGCGGUAAUACGUAGGGGGCAAGCGUUAUCCGGAUUUACUGGGUGUAAAGGGAGCGCAGACGGCACUGCAAGUCUGAAGUGAAAGCCCGGGGCUCAACCCCGGGACUGCUUUGGAAACUGUAGAGCUAGAGUGCUGGAGAGGCAAGCGGAAUUCCUAGUGUAGCGGUGAAAUGCGUAGAUAUUAGGAAGAACACCAGUGGCGAAGGCGGCUUGCUGGACAGUAACUGACGUUCAGGCUCGAAAGCGUGGGGAGCAAACAGGAUUAGAUACCCUGGUAGUCCACGCCGUANACGAUGAAUACUUGGUGUUNGUGGGCAAAGCCCAUCGGUGCCGCCGCAAACGCAAUAAG
rnacentral:rRNA from 1 species